UUGGAGAUUUGGAGAUUUGAUCCUGGCUCAGGACGAACGCUGGCGGCGUGCUUAACACAUGCAAGUCAACGAUGAACCACUUCGGUGGGGAUUAGUGGCGAACGGGUGAGUAACACGUGGGCAAUCUGCCCUGCACUCUGGGACAAGCCCUGGAAACGGGGUCUAAUACCGGAUACUGAUCCUCGCAGGCAUCUGCGAGGUUCGAAAGCUCCGGCGGUGCAGGAUGAGCCCGCGGCCUAUCAGCUAGUUGGUGAGGUAACGGCUCACAAGGCGACGACGGGUAGCCGGCCUGAGAGGGCGACCGGCCACACUGGGACUGAGACACGGCCCAGACUCCUACGGGAGGCAGCAGUGGGGAAUAUUGCACAAUGGGCGAAAGCCUGAUGCAGCGACGCCGCGUGAGGAUGACGGCCUUCGGGUUGUAAACCUCUU
rnacentral:rRNA from 1 species